UACGUAGGGGGCAAGCGUUGUCCGGAUUUAUUGGGCGUAAAGAGCGUGUAGGCGGCUAGGUAGGUCCGUUGUGAAAACUCGAGGCUCAACCUCGAGACGUCGAUGGAAACCAUCUAGCUAGAGUCCGGAAGAGGAGAGUGGAAUUCCUGGUGUAGCGGUGAAAUGCGCAGAUAUCAGGAGGAACACCGGUGGCGAAGGCGGGACUCUGGGCCGAUACUGACGCUGAGGAGCGAAAGCGUGGGGAGCGAACAGG
rnacentral:rRNA from 1 species